GGGUGAGGAUCACGUGAGAAACCUGCCCCAGACUUUGGGAUAACACCGGGAAACCGGUGCUAAUACCGGAUACUCCAUCUUGGCGGCAUCGCCGAGCUGGGAAAAAAUUUUGAUGAAAGAUGGUCUCGCGGCCUAUCAGCUAGUUGGUGAGGUAAAGGCUCACCAAGGCGACGACGGGUAGCCGGCCUGAGAGGGCGACCGGCCACACUGGGACUGAGACACGGCCCAGACUCC
rnacentral:rRNA from 1 species